GGCGAACGCUGGCGGCGUGCCUAAUACAUGCAAGUUGAGCGCUGAAGGUUGGUACUUGUACCAACUGGAUGAGCAGCGAACGGGUGAGUAACGCGUGGGGAAUCUGCCUUUGAGCGGGGGACAACAUUUGGAAACGAAUGCUAAUACCGCAUAAAAACUUUAAACACAAGUUUUAAGUUUGAAAGAUGCAAUUGCAUCACUCAAAGAUGAUCCCGCGUUGUAUUAGCUAGUUGGUGAGGUAAAGGCUCACCAAGGCGAUGAUACAUAGCCGACCUGAGAGGGUGAUCGGCCACAGUGGGACUGAGACACGGCCCAAACUCCUACGGGAGGCAGCAGUAGGGAAUCUUCGGCAAUGGACGAAAGUCUGACCGAGCAACGCCGCGUGAGUGAAGAAGGUUUUCGGAUCGUAAAACUCUGUUGGUAGAGAAGAACGUUGGUGAGAGUGGAAAGCUCAUCAAGUGACGGUAACUACCCAGAAAGGGACGGCUAACUACGUG
rnacentral:rRNA from 1 species